AUGCGUAUCAUACGCGUACGGCCAGAAGGCCAUGUUGGCUUGGGGACAUGGCACAUACCAGACGUAUACGACCCCUUAGAACGUGCCUCAUAUGUGUCCCGUACGUGUAUUUCUAGUCUGCUAUAUGCCAAAUCCUGCUAUCGUACCAGUACAUUUUUUACUCGUUUUGAAAACUUUCAACCUCCUAAUUUGGGUCUAAAACAGUGUUUUUGUACAUAA